UCCUACGGGAGGCAGCAGUGAGGAAUAUUGGACAAUGGUGGAAAGUCUGAUCCAGCCAUGCCGCGUGCAGGAUGAAUGCCCUAUGGGUUGUAAACUGCUUUUAUACGGGAAGAAAAACACCUACGUGUAGGUGCCUGACGGUACCGUAAGAAUAAGGACCGGCUAACUCCGUGCCAGCAGCCGCGGUAAUACGGAGGGUCCAAGCGUUAUCCGGAAUCAUUGGGUUUAAAGGGUCCGUAGGUGGAUAAUUAAGUCAGGGGUGAAAGUUUGCAGCUCAACUGUAAAAUUGCCUUUGAUACUGGUUAUCUUGAAUUGUAUUGAAGUAGGCGGAAUAUGUAGUGUAGCGGUGAAAUGCAUAGAUAUUACAUAGAACACCAAUUGCGAAGGCAGCUUACUAAGUACCAAUUGACACUGAUGGACGAAAGCGUGGGUAGCGAACAGGAUUAGAUACCCUGGUAGUCCACGCCGUAAACGAUGGAUACUAGCUGUUGGGAAUUUAUUCUGAGCGGCCCAGCGAAAGUGAUAAGUAUCCCACCUGGGGAGUACGUUCGCAAGAAUGAAACUCAAAGGAAUUGACGGA
rnacentral:rRNA from 1 species